AGCGAACGCUGGCGGCAGGCCUAACACAUGCAAGUCGAACGAACUCUUCGGAGUUAGUGGCGGACGGGUGCGUAACACGUGGGAACGUGCCUUUUGGUUCGGAAUAACUCAGGGAAACUUGUGCUAAUACCGAAUGUGCCCUUCGGGGGAAAGAUUUAUCGCCAUUAGAGCGGCCCGCGUCUGAUUAGCUAGUUGGUGAGGUAACGGCUCACCAAGGCGACGAUCAGUAGCUGGUCUGAGAGGAUGACCAGCCACACUGGGACUGAGACACGGCCCAGACUCCUACGGGAGGCAGCAGUGGGGAAUCUUGCGCAAUGGGCGAAAGCCUGACGCAGCCAUGCCGCGUGAAUGAUGAAGGUCUUAGGAUUGUAAAAUUCUUUCACCGGGGACGAUAAUAACGGUACCCGGAGAAGAAGCCCCGGCUAACUUCGUG
rnacentral:rRNA from 1 species